rnacentral:tRNA from 1 species
GCCUUCGUAAUGUAGUGGUCAGCACUCUGAAUGGUAACCGAGAGGUCCGUGGUUCGAUUCCUGGCGAGGGCG